rnacentral:rRNA from 1 species
CCUACGGGAGGCAGCAGUGGGGGAUAUUGCACAAUGGGGGGAACCCUGAUGCAGCGACGCCGCGUGGGUGAAGGAGCGUUUCGGCGCGUCAAGCCCUAUCGGCAGGGAAGAAGAUGACGGUACCUGACCAAGAAGCCCCGGCUAACUACGUGCCAGCAGCCGCGGUAAUACGUAGGGGGCAAGCGUUAUCCGGAUUUAUUGGGUUUACAGGGUGCGUAGGCUGGGAGGUAAGUCAGCGGUGAAAUGCCCCCGCUCAACGGGGUGAAGUGCCAUUGAUACUGCCUUGCUGGAAUGCGGAUGCCGUGGGAGGAAUGUGUGGUGUAGCGGUGAAAUGCAUAGAUAUCACACAGAACACCGAUUGCGAAGGCAUCUCACGAAUCCGCGAUUGACGCUGAUGCACGAAAGCGUGGGUAUCAAACAGGAUUAGAUACCCGUGUAGUC